rnacentral:rRNA from 1 species
UAAUACGGAGGGUCCAAGCGUUGUCCGGAUUUAUUGGGUUUAAAGAGUGCGUAGGUGGUUUAUUAAGUCAGUGGUGAAAUCCUGCAGCUCAACUGUAGAACUGCCAUUGAUACUGAUAAACUUGAGUUUGGUUUAGGUAAGUGGAAUUUAUGAUGUAGCGGUGAAAUGCAUAGAUAUCAUAAGGAACACCAAUAGCGAAGGCAGCUUACUGGACCACAACUGACACUGAGGCACGAAAGCGUGGGCAGCGAACAGGAUUAGAUACCCUGGUAGUCCACGCCGUAAACGAUGCUCACUCGAUGUUAGCGAUAUACUGUUAGCGUCCAAGCUAAAGCGUUAAGUGAGCCACCUGGGGAGUACGCCGGCAACGGUG